GAGAGGCAGCUGGGUGGGCAUCGACCUGGACGGGAGUGAAGAGGCCAUGGGGCAGGCUGUGAGAUCAAACACGUGGCCACCACGUUACUGGAAAAUCACAGUAUUAACUACAAUCACCUUUGGGCGCUAACUUCAAGUAAUAAGCAGAAUCACACCGCUCCCCCACCUCCACCAAUAUCACCCUGGCCCAAGUCAAUUGCGUCUCCAAUCCUGACUUCCUUUCUCGCUACAUCGGCCUCCUUACUGGCCAUCUUGUUUCCACUCUUGGCCCUUGCGGUCUAUUUUUCACCUAGGAGCCAGAGUGACUCCUUUAAAAAUGUAGCAAAGACCGUGACACUUCUCAAGUCAAAACUCUCCAAUGACUUCCCAAUUGAUUUGAACUAUAAAGUCCUCACCAUAGCCAACAGGAUGAUACAUGAUCUGGCCUCUGUCUCCCUCUCAAACUCCAUUUCCUACUGGCUCAUCCUCUCCCACUCCACUGCAGUCCAGGACGACCUGGCUGGCCCACAGACAUGCCAAGCAUGCUCCCAGCUCAGGCUCUUUGCCUGGAAUGUUCUCUCAAGAUCCUUCUUCUCUCAAGAUCCUCUUGGCUUGCACCCUCAUUUCACUCAGGUCUCUUCUGUCACCUCCUAGGCCAGGCUGUGCUUAAACCACUCUUCCCAAAGUAGCACCCUGCCUGGGUCACUCCCUAUUUCUUUAUACUGCUUCAUCUUCCUAAUGCUUACCACCAAUAACAUUUAUAUUUAUUUGCUCCCUCUCUGUCUCUCCAAACUAGAAAGGAGGCUUUGUGGGGACAAAGACUGUUGUUCACUGCCUGUCUCCAGCACCAGUACACUGCCUGGUGCAUAGUACAUGCUCAAUGAACGUUUGUUGAAUGAAUAAAAGUGGCACCCCCCAGGAUCUGUAAACUUCAGAGCUCAUGCUCUCAACCACUUUUCUAUGCUACUCCCCGGUAUUGGGACGUGUUGAUCAAUCCAAAGAGCAGCUGUAAGCAAUGGACACACACAGGUGUGAUUGGUAGUCCUCAUUAAAUAUCUGUUCAACAGAAGGCACAUCCUAGAUGAAAUCCUCAGUUAUUCAGCUUCUAAGGAUGGGGAAUGUAUGAAUUAUAGAAAGGUCAGUCAGCUAACGAAGUGUGAAACUAUUAAACGUCUAAUUCACUAUCAUGAUACCUGUUCUACACUGCUUAUACCACUAAAUGCCACUUGAGAUUACCAUGCGUAUUUGUUGUUUCUUUAUCAUCUGUUUCCUUUAUUGCCUUGUAAGCCUUAUGAGAGGAGACACCUUGCCUUCAAUGUGGAAUAAUCGGAACAAUAAAUAAAUUAAUGAAUUCAGGCAACUGAUUUGUUUAGUUCUGUUUCCACAACUCCCAAACAACUUCCAAAUUAUAAUUUUACUUCACAGAAAGAUGAUGUCCAGGUCAAACUAAUGCAAAUAUAAUACUCACUGAGUAACUAAUAUAGUGGUGCUUUCAUCUAUACAUCAAUUUCUUAAAGCCUGAUUAGUGUGAAUCUGUCUUUGAAAAUCAACCUUAGUCUCAACAUGCAAAAAAAAAAAAAAAAA
rnacentral:lncRNA from 1 species